AACGAACGCUGGCGGCAGGCUUAACACAUGCAAGUCGAACGAUCUCUUCGGAGGUAGUGGCAGACGGGUGAGUAACACGUGGGAACGUACCUUUCAGUUCGGAAUAACUCAUGGAAACGUGAGCUAAUACCGGAUACGCCCCUUGGGGGAAAGAUUUAUCGCUGAAAGAUCGGCCCGCGUCUGAUUAGCUAGUUGGUGAGGUAAUGGCUCACCAAGGCGACGAUCAGUAGCUGGUCUGAGAGGAUGAUCAGCCACACUGGGACUGAGACACGGCCCAGACUCCUACGGGAGGCAGCAGUGGGGAAUAUUGGACAAUGGGCGCAAGCCUGAUCCAGCCAUGCCGCGUGAGUGAUGACGGCCUUAGGGUUGUAAAGCUCUUUCGACGGGGACGAUAAUGACGGUACCCGUAGAAGAAGCCCCGGCUAACUUCGUGCCAGCCGCCGCAGUAACAC
rnacentral:rRNA from 1 species